UGUGGAGGAGAAGAUGCAGACAUGGGGAAGGAAGAAAAGAAGCCACCUGAGUCCUCCCUGAGCCACAGGCAGUCCCUGAAGUGCCUUCCUGGGAAUGGUAGGAUGGUGAGGACUCUGCAUUGCUCCCUAGGGAUGUGUGGAACUCCAGGAAUUGACGGUGACGCCUCGGCCGAUGGAUUGGACGCCCCAGCCCGUCCGUUCCUGCCCAGCCCUUGGGUCCCUGUCAAGUGAUGGGACUCCCAGCCCCUCCAGGGGGCUGUGGCGUGGAAACUGCAGAGAGCUGAGCCAGGGGAUUGAAAGGGACUAACCCAGCGAGGUGAAGAAACAAGGAAGAAGGGAAGUGAGGCAGCAGCCAAGCAGCACCAAGUUCCUCUGUCAGCAGGUGAGUUGUGUUGAGGUUCCUAAGGCAGGCACUGGGGACUUUGGAGACUCCAGACAGAGAAGACCGUAGAAGCCCCUUGGAGAAUCCUCUCAGAAACCUUACAGGGU